GUCAGAAUUACAUCAGAUGCACUCAGUUGUAUUGCAGGAAAAUUGCGUCGUGCUGAUCACAGAGUGCAACAACACAGUCGGGUUUGCUCGUGUCCAGGAGCAAAUCCAAGAAUAAUCUGGAAGAUUUCUUGUUUCGUCGCCUCGCAUCCACUCACAGGCCAGCCCCUCUUUUCCGCCAUUUCCUCAGCCAUCACUGGGCGAAGAGAUUUGAACAGUUUAAAGUGAAAUGUUCACCAAAUCAGGUCGCGAAGUCCGGAAAUCGUCGGCUCGCCUGCUCCCUCGCGCCCCGGAAGAGAACGGCUCGGGUUCAACCACUCUCUCCUGUCAAGUGAGCGGCUUUAAACUGGACUUGGCAGCACUGCGCUGAAGCGUGAAUAGAGUCGGGAGGAGAGGGAAGUGACGAAAAAACAUCAUGGACGAGACCUGCAGGCUGAGUAGUUACCUGCGGGU